rnacentral:rRNA from 1 species
GACGAACGCUGGCGGCGUGCCUAACACAUGCAAGUCGAGCGAAUGAAGUUCCUUCGGGAAUGGAUUUAGCGGCGGACGGGUGAGUAACACGUGGGCAACCUGCCUCAUAGAGGGGAAUAGCCUUCCGAAAGGGAGAUUAAUACCGCAUAAGAUUGUAGUAUCGCAUGAUACAGCAAUUAAAGGAGCAAUCCGCUAUGAGAUGGGCCCGCGGCGCAUUAGCUAGUUGGUGAGGUAACGGCUCACCAAGGCGACGAUGCGUAGCCGACCUGAGAGGGUGAUCGGCCACAUUGGGACUGAGACACGGCCCAGACUCCUACGGGAGGCAGCAGUGGGGAAUAUUGCACAAUGGGGGAAACCCUGAUGCAGCGACGCCGCGUGAGUGAUGACGGCCUUCGGGUUGUAAAGCUCUGUCUUCAGGGACGAUAAUGACGGUACCUGAGGAGGAAGCCACGGCUAACUACGUG